CGGCACGUAGCGCAGCCUGGUAGCGCACCGUCAUGGGGUGUCGGGGGUCGGCGGUUCAAAUCCUCUCGUGCCGACCA
rnacentral:tRNA from 1 species